rnacentral:rRNA from 1 species
GAUGAACGCUAGCGGGAGGCUUAAUACAUGCAAGUCGAGGGGUAACGAUGGAGCUUGCUCCAGGCGACGACCGGCGAACGGGUGAGUAACGCGUACACAACCUACCUUCAAGAAGGGGAUAGCCUUUAGAAAUGAAGAUUAAUACCCUAUAGUAUUACUUUUUUUUAGGAAUGAGUAAUUAAAGUUUCGAUGCUUGAAGAUGGGUGUGCGUCCUAUUAGCUAGUUGGUGAGGUAACGGCUCACCAAGGCGACGAUAGGUAGGGGGCGUGAGAGCGUGAUCCCCCACACGGGUACUGAGACACGGACCCGACUCCUACGGGAGGCAGCAGUAAGGAAUAUUGGACAAUGGGCGCAAGCCUGAUCCAGCCAUCCCGCGUGUAGGAUGACAGCCCUAUGGGUCGUAAACUACUUUUGUUAGGGAAGAAACGCCUUCAUUUAUGAAGGCCUGACGGUACCUAAAGAAUAAGCACCGGCUAACUCCG